rnacentral:rRNA from 1 species
UACGGAGGAUCCGAGCGUUAUCCGGAAUUAUUGGGUUUAAAGGGUCCGUAGGCGGGAUAAUAAGUCAGUGGUGAAAGUUUGUGGCUCAACCAUAAAAUUGCCAUUGAUACUGUUAUUCUUGAGUUAUUGUGAAGUGGUUAGAAUGUGUAGUGUAGCGGUGAAAUGCAUAGAUAUUACACAGAAUACCAAUUGCGAAGGCAGAUCACUAACAAUCAACUGACGCUGAUGGACGAAAGCGUAGGUAGCGAACAGG